rnacentral:rRNA from 1 species
GACGAACGCUGGCGGCGUGCUUAACACAUGCAAGUCGAACGGAAAGGCCCUGCUUUUGUGGGGUGCUCGAGUGGCGAACGGGUGAGUAACACGUGAGUAACCUGCCCUUGACUUUGGGAUAACUUCAGGAAACUGGGGCUAAUACCGGAUAGGAUCUCCUGCUGCAUGGUGGGGGUUGGAAAGUUUCGGCGGUUGGGUAUGGACUCGCGGGUUAUCAGCUUGUUGGUGGGGUAGUGGCUUACCAAGGCUUUGACGGGUAGCCCGCCUGAGAGGGUGACCGGGCACAUUGGGACUGCGAUACGGCCCAGACUCCUACGGGCGGCAGCAGUGGAGAAUAUUGCACAGUGGGCGGAAGCCUGAUGCAGCAACGCCGCGUGCGGGAUGACGGCCUUCGGGUUGUAAACCGCUUUCGCCUGUGACGAAGCGUGAGUGACGGUAAUGAGUAAAGAAGCACCGGCUAACUACGUG